rnacentral:misc_RNA from 1 species
UGAAUAUACCUUCUUCUUCACAAUUUCAAUAGAACAAGCAAAGAGAUCUCUCAAUCUCUUGCAAUAACUAUUCUUCUAACAAUAAUGAUGAACCAAAUUAUGGUGGAGCCGGACGGGAUCGAACCGACGACCCCCUGCUUGCAAAGCAGGUGCUCUCCCAGCUGAGCUACGGCCCC